UACGGAGGGUGCAAGCGUUAUCCGGAUUCACUGGGUUUAAAGGGUGCGUAGGUGGAUUAGUAAGUCAGUGGUGAAAUCUCCGGGCUUAACCCGGAAACUGCCAUUGAUACUAUUAGUCUUGAAUACCGUGGAGGUCAGCGGAAUAUGUCAUGUAGCGGUGAAAUGCUUAGAUAUGACAUAGAACACCAAUUGCGAAGGCAGCUGGCUACACGAGCAUUGACACUCAGGCACGAAAGCGUGGGGAUCAAACAGGA
rnacentral:rRNA from 1 species